UUUCGCCAGGCUGGUCUCAAACUCCUGGACUCAAAUGAUCUGCAUGACUUUUCCUCCCAAAGUGCUGAGAUUACAGCAACUAUGUAAGAAGUCUGGCUGCCAUGAUGCCACCAUGCUGGAGGGACCACAUGGACAUACCAUGAAGAUAUAUAGAGAAAUGCUUUAGAAACCUCAGCUGUUCCGUCUUUCAGCUAUUUGAGUCUUCCUAGGCCAAGGGCCAGAUAUAUAAACAAAGAAGACUUGAUGGUGACUCCAGCCUUAGUCAACGUCUAACUGCAACCACGUGAGAGACUUUCAACCAGAACUAUGCAGUGGAGCUGCUUCUGAACUCCUGACCCAUAGAAACCAUGAAUGAUAAUAAAUGAUUGCUGUUUUCCUUAAAUGUUUGGUCGCAUUUCUCAGUGAAAUCAUCUGUGCCUAGAAUUUUCUUUCUAGAAAAGUUUCAAACUCCAAAUUCAAUUCUUA
rnacentral:lncRNA from 1 species